rnacentral:lncRNA from 1 species
AUGGGAAGGGAAACUGGACCUCUUUCAGAGCAUCCUGCGAUCCAGCCGGUCCUUCGGGGGCCAGCGCACAGCCUGGGAAGUCCGCGUCGGGACUGCGCCUGCGCCUGCGCGGAGCCUCGCCCGCGUUCCAGGUGGAAGGCUGCGCGUUUGAGCGUUCAUGGCAACGCCAGGCUUCCGCCUUCUGGAAGCCUUGGCUCCCGUUCCCGCAGUGGAACGAUGCCUCUGGAAGUGGUGGUGGAACUACAGAUCCGGGCGGUAAGAGAAGUCGACGAACCUCCACUCCUUGCUCCAAACCAGAUUCUUUUCCCAGGGUUUCUAAAUGGUCGCGAUCGUUUUCACCACCUCCUCCCCACUUCACCACACACACACAUCAUUAAAUUUUGGGACAGAUUCUAUCUCCCUGUCCUUAAGAUCCUUACGUUGGUCUUCCCUGAUUUCUUAACCUUUAAUUCAGCCCAACCUCUUUCAACAUUUUUCCCCCCAAAGGACUUGUUAGCUUUAUAAAAUUUUCUGUUAUUUUAGAAUAACCCUGCCUUAAGUCCAAGAAGAAUUUUAUUUUUCUAGCAUAUAGAUUUGUGAAAUAAUUUUUUUAAAAUCCUCCUUUAAAUAACAAGGGAAGAAUUCAAUUUCAGAAAGCGCAUUCACUUCCUGAUAACUUGCCACCUCUAUGAACCAAUGGAUUGAAUAUAUAAAGAUUUUAUUUAUUUGAGAGAGAAAACGAGUGUGGGGACGGGCAGAGGGAUAGGGUGAAGCAGACUCCCCACUGAGCAGGGAGCUUGACAUGAGGCUUGAUCCCAGGACCCCAACAUCAUGACCUGAGCUGAAGGCAGACUCUUUAUCAGCUGAUUAUAUUUUUUUAUAAUAAUAUUUUUUUAUUAUGUUAGUCACCAUACAGUACAUCCCUGGUUUUUGAUGUAAAGUUCCAUGAUUCAUUAGUGGCGUAUAACACCCAGUGCACCACGCAAUACGUGCCCUCCUUACAACCGGUCACCAGCCUAUCCCAUUCCCCCACCCCCCUCCCCUCUGAAGCCCUCAGUUUGUUUCUCAGAGUCCAUAGUCUCUCAUGCUUCAUUUCCCCUUCUGAUUACCCCCCCUUUCUUUAUCCCUUUCUUCUCCUACUGAUUUUCCUACUUCUUAUGUUCCAUAGAUGAGUGAAACCAUAUAAUUCUUUCUCUGCUUGACUUAUUUCACUUAGCAUUAUCUUCUCCAGUGCCGUCCAUGUUGCAGCAAAUGUUGAGAAAUUGUUCUUUUUGAUAGCUGAGUAAUAUUCCAUUGUAUAUAUGGACCACAUCUUCUUAAUCCAGUCAUCUGUUGAAGGGCAUCUUGGCUCCUUCCACGAUUUAGCUAUUGUGACAAUGCUGCUUUGAACAUUGGGGUGCAUAUGGCCCUUCUCUUCACUACGUCUGUAUCUUUGGGGUAAAUACCCAGUAGUGCAAUUGCUGGAUCAUAGGGUAGCUCAAAUUUUAACUUUUUAAGGGACCUCCAUACUGUUUCCCCUGGAAUAUAUAUUUUUAAAAAUUUUAUUUAUCUAGAGAGAGAGAAAGCACAAGCAGGGGGAGCAGCAGGCAAAGGAGAAGGAGGAUCCCUACUGAGCAAGGAGCCUGGUGAAAGACUCGAUCCCAGGACCCCGGAAUCAUGACCUGAGCCCGAGCCACCGAGGCGACCUCUAAUUGAAUAUUUUCUAAAUAUUUCCCCUAGAGAUGGCUCUGGUUUGCUAAUUCCAAAAGGGGUCAAUCAGUCAACACCUGUUUUAUAAUUGUCCAGUGAAUCCCACUUAAGUGAGGUGCUGUGGCAGAGUGACUGCAUUGUUUCUGUUUGGGGCCAGUCACUACUCUGAAUUCGGCUUCUGUGUUCCAAUCCUUCCACCCGUAGUUGGUGACAGACUGUCAUACAGCUUUGCCUCCCAGCUGUAGGGGCUUCUCUACUGGCCAUGAUUACAAGCACAGUGUCGGUAAGUUACGGCUAUGGAAAAUCUGGUUAGCCUCCAUAGAAGUGACAAGUGCUGUGGUUUCAUCAUACAUGCAGUUCUGAAAGAAAAACAACAAUUUCCUGGAUCUGUCCCAUUUCGCUGAGAGCAAAUAAGACCAGACUCUCUCAAAUUGUGCUACAUCGAGUGCCAACCCUCAAAAUUUUGCGGCCAGGGGAAGGAAUUCUUGAGAAGCUGAGUGAUAAAGGAGUCUUCCUCUUCCUCAAGGCAAAAAUUAAACAAGUUCAACUCACUUCAUUCAACAUUAUUGGUUAAUUUUAUUUUCAUUUUUAAAAGGUAUUCCUCAGUGUACAAUUAAUUUACAGUAAAAUCAUUUUUUACUCUAUAAUAGAGUGUUUCAGAGACAUCAGUUGAAUUGACCUGUUUUAAAAGUCUGCAAAUUCAGGUCCCCAACAAUGAAGACAGGGAAUUCCAGAAGUAUAACCAGGAACCUGAAGAUAAAACUAAUUGUGAGCCCCUAAUAUUCAGACUUGUGAACACUGCAAAAGGAAAUAUCAUUGCUUUUCAAAAAGGUCUGGUCUGAAUAUUGCUGGAUCAAAACAAAAGAUCUAAGAUGAAACAAUAAAGCAAAUCACUUAGAGCUUUACAGUUUGGCUGAUUCGGUGAGAGAAGAGGUAGUGUGUGUUCAGGAUGUUGUGGGAAUACAAUGGAUUUUAUUUUACUUUGAGGAAUAGCUGUUCCUCAGUGCGCCUCUCACACUCAGAAAGUUCACACUUCUACCCAAUCAGAGCCCACUUGUCACACCAUUCUCCAGAUUCCUAGGUGCCCCUCUACAUGACAGAUCAAAGGCCAUAAUCCUCUCUCUUUAUAAUCUCAAAAUGAUCUGUCAUUAUCUAAAAACACCAGUUCCUGAGGUAAUUCAAAAGUUCUUACUUUUUAGGUAGAACAGCAUUUAAAGCACAUCCCCUUCUGGUCUUUCCUGCUCAAAGAAUAACGAGCAGAAUCCAUCCUGCAUUUGGUGGUCUUUGGUCUUGUGACUUGGAGAGGCACCAUGGAUAAAGUGCUUUAAAUGCGAAGGUCAAUGUAAAGGGAAAUUUAGGAGUUAGUUGUACCUUGUGCCUGGUAUAGCAGUGGGCUCCCCUGAUGCAUUUCAAGUUAAAUACUGUUACUUAAAGUGUGCUGUAUACGAGGAAAUGGAAUUCUAUACGAAAAACUCUAAUAUACAGGGUCAUCUGUGUGGUACAUAUGAGAAAGUUUAUGCCCUUGCACUGCAAACAACCAAGUUAUUUUCCUAUGACCUCAGUAGAGGGGCAUUAUUCUUUAUUCGGUAGAGAUGAUGGGCAGCAGAGCCCCAUCUCCCACCAUACUGGCCCACUAACAUAGUAUGUGGUAAGCCCACCCCCAGACUCUUAGGUCCUGACGUCCUCGGUUAGCUUUUCUGUCCUCUGUCAUGCCACGCUAUUCGUCGUCAACAGAUUUAAGCAUUCGGUCAUAGUCCCAUCCUUCCUUUUCCAUGGGCAUUGUAGAUAUGCCCACUUUUAAGUGUUUCUUCUUCAAGUAAGUUCUUGGCUUGUUCUCUAAAUGCAAAAAGAUAGUAUUAGAGAGUAACAGGAAACAAAUGUCUAUUUAAAGAGUUUUUGAGGCGGUAGAGGGCAAGAAAAACAAGAUAGGUACUAUAAUCUCUCUUCUCACUACCCAAUCCAGAGAUGGAAGAGACAAUAUGCUAAGAAAGCUUAUCAAGAAAAUCAGGAUUAAGAAAACACUGUGGCAACAGAUUUUCAAGGAAUAAAUGAGAAAAACCUAUGUCUUAGACUUCUAAAAUACUGUUUAAAAUCUACCUCAGGAAAAUAGGAUUAGUAAGUAGGUGGCUCAUCUGCAUGUAUAUUUACAGAACGAAGAUCAUGGUGGUGGGUUUUUUUUUUUCCAAAGUUCACUUUACAGCUGAUAUGUUGACUUAUAGGAUUACUACAAAACACAAAAUUUACUUUUGUCAACUUUAAAAAAAACAGCAGGAUUAUAGUCACCCCAGCUUGUUUUCUUUGCAGUUAUCCUGGAGAUAUAAACAGUUGUUUAAUAAAUAUAUAACAGAGGACUUUUUUUUUUUUUUUUUGCUUUCUGUAAUAUGGCUGUGGUCAUAAUGGCCAGCAUUCUCCAGCCUAGCAACCCAUCAAGACGGAAUGACACCUGAAAUCCCAAACGAAGCCUGAAAUGUCCUGUAGCAGACAUUUUAGAAAGUAGGUACUCUCAAAACAAAACAAAACAAAACAAAGCAUCUGUUGUAUGUAUGUAACUGUGUGUACAGGUAUAAAAUUCUGUAUUCUAAGUUGUGAUAUUUCCAUGUUGGAUCCAUAUUUAUAUUCAGGAGAGUCUAUGUCAUAUUUGAAUCAUGUUUUUCAUUCUAUUACAAGCUCUAUUACAAGCUGGACAGAGAUGGGAUUUAUUGGAUGGUACACUUCUGUUUAUUAAUCUGUUACAAUUAAAUGGUUUUUAUAUCUUCACACAGUUGUGUAACCAUCACUAUAAUUAAUUUUAGAACAUUUUUAUCACCAUAGAACAAAACCCUGAACCCAUUCUUCCUUAUCAUUCCCAGCCCAGGGUAACUACUAACCAAUCUUUCUGUCUCUAUAGAUUUGUUUGUUCUGAAUAUUUCAUAUAAAUGGAAUUAUACAAUCCAUGUUCCUUUGUGCCUGGCUUUUUUCACUGAGCAUAAUGUUUUCAAGAUUCAUCUUUGCUACAGCAUGUGUUAGUACUUCACAUGUGGCCAAAUCGUGUUCCAUUGUAUGGCUAUACUACAUUUUAUUUAUUCAUUCAUUGGUUGAUGGACAGUUGGGUUGUUUUCACAUGUGGGCUAUGAUGGAAAAUGUUGCUAUGAAUAUUUGUGUACAUGUUUUUCUGUUGGCAUAUGUUUUCAUUUCUCUUGGCUAUAUACCUAGAAAUAGAAGUGUGGAGUCAUAUGGUAAUUCUUUUUAAUCUCUGGAGAAGCUUUACUAAAGUGGCUGCAUCAUUUCACGUUGUACCAGCAAUGUGUGAGGCUUCCAUUUCUCCACAUCCUGGCCAACACUUGUUAUUACCUGUCCUUUUGACUAUUAGCCAUCCUUGUGGGUACAAAGUGGAAUCUCAUUGUGGUUUGAUGAUGUUGAACAUUUUUUCAUGUGAUUAUUGACUGUGUAUCUUAUUUGGAGAAAUGUGUAUUCAGAGAUUUUGCUUAUAUUUUAAUUGGGUUAUUUGGCUUUUUAUUAUUGAGUUGUAACAUGUAAUGGACUUGUAAUGUAUUGAGUUCUUUGUACCUUGUAGAUACAAGUCCCAUAUC